rnacentral:misc_RNA from 1 species
AAAUAAAAUUAAUAAAGAUUACCCAAAAACUGCUUCGAAAUUGACAAAAGAAUAGCAGGUAAAAUAGAUUUGAUAUUAAAGGGUAUUUGUGCACAAAAUGAAAAAUCCUUUGUUCCUUUCAAACAUAACACCCAGGUCUUUCAAGCCGAAUAGAAAUAUAAUAGAGACAGCUCAAAUCCCAAUAAUACAAUCUAGAAGACUCGUCCCAUGCCAAAAGAUUCCUCAGAACUAGAGCAGCAGCGGUGGAGGAGGAAGGGAGGCAGUGAAAAGUGGAGGAAAGAGAUUUUAGGCAAGGCACAAGUAGAUGUUUUCAAGCAAAGCUGUAUACUUUGUCAAUGGACAGACAAAAUGCAAAGUCUUCAAGUAAAAUAUGCCAACCCGGCCAAACUUGUAAAUCAACCCAAAAUUUGGAUUAUGUUGAGUUUGG